rnacentral:siRNA from 1 species
AUCAUGUAUGUUUUGCAGUUGCAA